UUACUGAUUUCAACUGGUCCCAAGGUUACUGAUGAGGUGUUCAUUUUACUGAUUUCAACUGGCCCCAAGGUUACUGAUGAGGUGUUCAUUUUACUGAUUUCAACUGGCCCCAAGGUUACUGAUGAGGUGUUCAUUUUACUGAUUUCAACUGGCCCCAAGGUUACUGAUGAGGUGUUCAUUUUACUGAUUUCAACUGGCCCCAAGGUUACUGAUGAGGUGUUCAUUUUACUGAUUUCAACUGGCCCCAAGGUUACUGAUGAGGUGUUCAUUUUACUGAUUUGAACUGGGACCAAGGUUACUGAUGAGGUGUUCAUUUUACUGAUUUCAACUGGCCCCAAGGUUACUGAUGAGGUGUUCAUUUUACUGAUUUCAACUGGCCCCAAGGUUACUGAUGAGGUGUUCAUUUUACUGAUUUGAACUGGGACCAAGGUUACUGAUGAGGUGUUCAUUUUACUGAUUUGAACUCGGACCAAGGUUACUGAUGAGGUGUUCAUUUUACUGAUUUGAACUGGCCCCAAGGUUACUGAUGAGGUGUUCAUUUUACUGAUUUGAACUCGGACCAAGGUUACUGAUGAGGUGUUCAUUUUACUGAUUUGAACUGGGACCAAGGUUACUGAUGAGGUGUUCAUUUUACUGAUUUGAACUGGCCCCAAGGUUACUGAUGAGGUGUUCAUUUUACUGAUUUGAACUGGGACCAAGGUUACUGAUAUAAGGCGUUCAUUUUACUGAUUAUGUAUAAAAGAAAGACUGACUGACUGACUGAGUUUGGUUUUACGC